GAUGAACGCUGGCGGCGUGCCUAAUACCUGCAAUUCGAGCGAACAGACGAGGAGCUUGCUCCUCUGACGUUAGCGGCGGACGGGUGAGUAACACGUGGAUAACCUACCUAUAAGACUGGGAUAACUUCGGGACACCGGAGCUAAUACCGGAUAAUAUAUUGAUCCGCAUGGUUCAAUAGUGAAAGACGGUUUUGCUGUCACUUCUAGAUGGAUCCGCGCCGCAUUAGCUAGUUGGUAAGGUAACGGCUUACCAAGGCAACGAUGCGUAGCCGACCUGAGAGGGUGAUCGGCCACACUAGAACUGAGACACGGUCCAGACUCCGACGGGAGGCAACAGUAGGGAAUCUGCCGCAAGGGGCGAAAGCUGGACGGAGCAACGCCGCGUGAGUGAUGAAGGUCUUCGGAGCGGAAAACUCUGUGAUGAGGGAGGAACAAAUGUGGAAGUAACUAUACACGUCUUGACGGUACCUAAUCAGAAAGCCACGGCUAACUACGUG
rnacentral:rRNA from 1 species